GCCUAGGUAGCUUAAUGGUUAGAGCAGUCGCCCGGAAAGCGGAAGGUUCCGGGUUCGAGUCCCGGUCUAGUCA